UCCGUUUUACAACGGCAGUCUCCCUAGAGUCCCCGGCAUGACCCGCUGGCAACUAGAGAUAAGGGUUUCGCUCGUUAAGGGACUUAACCCGACAUCUCACGACACGAGCUGACGACAGCCGUGCAACACCUGUGCAAGUUCCACCCUUGCGGGCGUCACCUGGCUUUCACCAGGCUAAUCCAAGCAUGUCAAGCCUUGGUAAGGUUCUUCGCGUUGCAUCGAAUUAAACAACAUCCUCCACCGCUUGUGCGAGCCCCCGUCAAUUCCUUUGAGUUUCAGACUUGCGUCUAUACUCCCCAGGCGGCACACUUAAUGAAUUAUCUGCGAUAGUGACGGGCUCGGACCCGCCACUACCUAGUGUGCAUCGUUUACGGCCAGGACUAC
rnacentral:misc_RNA from 1 species